AGAGAUGGCUGAAGACACAAUCAAAGCCCUCCCGACAGAUGGCCAUCCAGCCAUAGAUAUCAUUGAGAUAGGUAGGUAGGUAGAGAUGGCUGAAGACACAAUCAAAGCCCUCCCGACAGAUGGCCAUCCAGCCAUAGAUAUGAUUGAGAUAGAUAGGUAGGUAGAGAUGGCUGAAGACACAAUCAAAGCCUCCCCGACAGAUGCCCAUUCAGCCAUAGAUAGGAUUGAGAUAGAUAGAUAGGUAGGUAGAGAUGGCUGAAGACACAAUCAAAGCCCGCCUGACAGAUGGCCAUCCAGCCAUAGAUAUGAUUGAGAUAGAUAGGUAGGUAGGUAGAGAUGGCUGAAGACACAAUCAAAGCCCUCCCGACAGAUGGCCAUCCAGCCAUAGAUAUCAUUGAGAUAGAUAGAUAGAUAGGUAGAUAUGGCUGAAGACACAAAGCCCUCCCAACAGAUGGUCAUCCAGCCAUAGAUAGGAUUGAGAUAGAUAGGUAGGUAGAGAUGGCUGAAGACACAAUCAAAGCCCUCCCAAGAGAUGGCCAUCCAGCCAUAGAUAUCAUUGAGAUAGGUAGGUAGAGAUGGCUGAAGACACAAUCAAAGCCCUCCUGACAGAUGGCCAUCUAGCCAUAGAUAUCAUUGAGAUAGAUAGGUAGGCAGAUAUGGCUGAAGACACAAUCAAAGCCCUCCCGACAGAUGGCCAUCCAGCCAUAGAUAUGAUUGAGAUAGAUAGGUAGAUAGAUAUGGCUGCAGACCCAAUCAAAGCCCUCCCAAGAGAUGUCCAUCCAGCCAUAGAUAUCAUUGAGAUAGAUAGGUUGGUAGAUGUGGCGGAAGACACAAUCAAAGCCCUCCUGACAGAUGGCCAUCCAGCCAUAGGUAGGAUUGAGAUAGGUAGGUAGGUAGAGAUGGCUGAAGACACAAUCAAAGCCCUCCCAACAGAUGGCCAUCCAACCAUAGAUAUCAUUGAGAUAGAUAGGUAGGUAGCGAUGGCUGAAGGUAUUUAUAUAUGGUAGGGAUAGCAUAGAAAUUGUGCUGGAAGGGGUUCCCAAGGGCCAUCCAGUCCAGCCUGCUUCUGCCAGGUAGAGACACAAUCAAAGCCCUCUCGACAGAUGGCCAUCCAGCCAUAGAAAGGAGUGAGAUCAUUUUCUUUUACUUGCAUGAAAACAAGACCCUCGUUCCAUCGUUUUCUUGAUGUUCAUUCACUUAUUUUAUUUUCCACAUGUUUCAUCUAUAAAAGUACCGGACAACAGCCAUAUAAACGUGUAUGGUACAUGUACAGUUUCAACAAGACGCAAUAACGCACCACCGGAGAAACGGGGGGGGGGGGGGG